rnacentral:rRNA from 1 species
CGGGCCGGGCGGCGGCUACCAUGCAGUCGAGCGGAAACAAAUAGUAGCUUGCUACUCUGGCGACGAGCGGCGGACGGGUGAGUAAUGCUUGGGAACAUGCCUUGAGGUGGGGGACAACAGUUGGAAACGACUGCUAAUACCGCAUAAUGUCUACGGACCAAAGGGGGCUUCGGCUCUCGCCUUUAGAUUGGCCCAAGUGGGAUUAGCUAGUUGGUGAGGUAAUGGCUCACCAAGGCGACGAUCCCUAUCUGGUUUGAGAGGAUGAUCACCCACACUGGGACUGAGACACGGCCCACACUCCUACGGGAGGCAGCAGUGGGGAAUAUUGCACAAUGGGCGCAAGCCUGAUGCACCCAUGCCGCGUGUGUGAAAAAGGCCUUCGGGUUGUAAAGCACUUUCAGUCAGGAGGAAAGGUUAGUAGUUAAUACCUGCUAGCUGUGACGUUACUGACAGAAAAAGCACCGGCUAACUCCGUGCCAGCAGCCGCGGUAAUACGGAGGGUGCGAGCGUUAAUCGGAAUUACUGGGCGUAAAGCGUACGCAGGCGGUUUGUUAAGCGAGAUGUGAAAGCCCCGGGCUCAACCUGGGAACUGCAUUUCGAACUGGCAAACUAGAGUGUGAUAGAGGGUGGUAGAAUUUCAGGUGUAGCGGUGAAAUGCGUAGAGAUCUGAAGGAAUACCGAUGGCGAAGGCAGCCACCUGGGUCAACACUGACGCUCAUGUACGAAAGCGUGGGGAGCAAACAGGAUUAUAUACUCUGAUACACA